rnacentral:misc_RNA from 1 species
UUAAGUUCAGCGGGUAUUCCUACCUGAUCCGAGGUCAACUCUAGGAGUUGGGCGUUUCACGGCGUGACCGUCUCCGCGCUCCGGUGCGAGGUUGUGCUACUACGCAGGGGAGGCUGCGGCAAGGUCGCCACUGCAUUUCGGGGGCGGCGCGCGGCCGGCCCCCAACACCAGGCCCCGGGGGGCUUGAGGGUUGAAAUGAC